AUGAACGCUAGCGACAGGCUUAACACAUGCAAGUCGAGGGGCAUCAUGAGGUAGCAAUACCUUGAUGGCGACCGGCGCACGGGUGAGUAACGCGUAUGCAACCUGCCUGAUACCGGGGUAUAGCCCAUGGAAACGUGGAUUAACACCCCAUAGUACUUUUAUCCUGCAUGGGAUGUGAGUUAAAUGUUCAAGGUAUCGGAUGGGCAUGCGUCCUAUUAGUUAGUUGGCGGGGUAACAGCCCACCAAGACGAUGAUAGGUAGGGGUUCUGAGAGGAAGGUCCCCCACAUUGGAACUGAGACACGGUCCAAACUCCUACGGGAGGCAGCAGUGAGGAAUAUUGGUCAAUGGACGAGAGUCUGAACCAGCCAAGUCGCGUGAGGGAAGACUGCCCUAUGGGUUGUAAACCUCUUUUAUAAGGGAAGAAUAAGUUCUACGUGUAGAAUGAUGCCUGUACCUUAUGAAUAAGCAUCGGCUAACUCCGUGCCAGCAGCCGCGGUAAUACGGAGGAUGCGAGCGUUAUCCGGAUUUAUUGGGUUUAAAGGGUGCGUAGGCGGUUUAUUAAGUUAGUGGUUAAAUAUUUGAGCUAAACUCAAUUGUGCCAUUAAUACUGGUAAACUGGAGUACAGACGAGGUAGGCGGAAUAAGUUAAGUAGCGGUGAAAUGCAUAGAUAUAACUUAGAACUCCGAUAGCGAAGGCAGCUUACCAGACUGUAACUGACGCUGAUGCUCGAAAGUGUGGGUAUCAAACAGGAUUAGAUACCCUGGCAGUCCACACUGUAAACGAUGGAUACUAGGUGUAGGGGUUAUUAAGACUUCUGUGCCGUCGCAAACGCAAUAAGUAUCCCACCUGGGGAGUACGGCCGCAAGGUUGAAACUCAAAGGAAUUGACGGGGGCCCGCACAAGCGGAGGAACAUGUGGUUUAAUUCGAUGAUACGCGAGGAACCUUACCUGGGUUUAAAUGGGAAAUGUCGUAUUUGGAAACAGAUAUUCUCUUCGGAGCGUUUUUCAAGGUGCUGCAUGGUUGUCGUCAGCUCGUGUCGUGAGAUGUUGGGUUAAGUCCCGCAACGAGCGCAACCCCUGUUCUUAGUUGCCAGCAUGUAAAGAUGGGAACUCUAAGAAGACUGCCGUAGACAAUACGGAGGAAGGUGGGGAUGACGUCAAAUCAUCAUGCCCUAUAUGUCCUGGGCUACACACGUACUACAAUGGGUGUAACAGAGGGAAGCAACACAGCGAUGUGAAGCGAAACCCAAAAAGCACCCCCAGUUCGGAUUGAAGGCUGAAAUUCGCCUUCAUGAAGCCGGAAUUGCUAGUAAUGGCAGGUCAGCAUACUGCCGUGAAUACGUUCCCGGGCCUUGUACACACCGCCCGUCACACCAUGAGAGUUGGGGAUACCCGAAGCCUGUGAGCCAACAGUAAUGAGGCAGCAGUCGAAGGUAGAAUCAAUGAUUGGGGUG
rnacentral:rRNA from 1 species